UCCAGUUGGGUUGACCAAAGGCAGG
rnacentral:piRNA from 1 species